UGUGGGAGCUGGCUUGCCUGCGAUGGCGGCGGAUCAGUUGGCAUCGUGUUGAUCGGCCGGCCGCUAUCGCAGGCAAGCCAGCUCCCACA
rnacentral:antisense_RNA from 1 species